rnacentral:rRNA from 1 species
AAUCAAGUGCCUUAAGGGUGUUCGGUGGAUGCCUUGGCGCUGAGAGGCGAUGAAGGACGUGAUACGGUGCGAUAAGCCGUGGGGAGCUGCGAAGAAGCUUUGAUCCGCGGAUUUCCGAAUGGGCAAACCCACCUUCGAUAGCCGGAACUCCAAGACCUUGUGUGGAAAGACUCGGUGUGGGGUUCGACCAGAUAAGAUGCGGGGCCUUGGGAUACCGGCGAAGAGGUUCGGACACCAGUUACAAGAAUAAAAUAGGAGGUUUUAAGCAAACCCAGGGAACUGAAACAUCUAAGUACC